rnacentral:lncRNA from 1 species
UGUAAUGUUGACUGAAAUUAUUAAAAUAGUAAUACUUUUAUUCGUGAUUUACCUGAUUACCCUUUUAUUUGAAUUUUUCAGAUUUAGAGUCACUCUCUUUUACAUUGUCACUUUCUUUCAUUUCAAAGUUCCAACUGCAAGCAUGAACUCUGCCUCCGGCUGCAGGACUAGUGUGAGAGUCGUUGUCGCAGGCAAUUGCUUCAUCAAAAAAGCGAGCUUGAUUGCGAUGAUCGCUUCACCAGAAAAGCGAGCUUUGAUUGCAGCGAAUUGCUUCGCCAUUUUAUUUUCGUUUCUUCUUUUUCUUUCUGUUCGUCUAUAAAAUUUUUGUAUUUUACAAUCAAUUUCUUUCUUUUUUUUUGGUCAAUUUCAUUUCAUUCUUCACCAUUUUUUUGUUGUGUUUGAUUUUGUUUACAGUAUAUUUGAUUCCGUUAAGAUUUUGAUAUUCU